UACGUAGGGACCAAGCGUUGUCCGGAAUCAUUGGGCGUAAAGAGCGUGUAGGCGGCUUGUUAAGUCUUGCGUGAAAUCUCGGGGCUCAACCCCGAGCGGUCGUGAGAAACUGGCAGGCUAGAGUGCGGGAGAGGAGAGUGGAAUUCCUGGUGUAGCGGUGAAAUGCGCAGAUAUCAGGAAGAACACCCGUGGCGAAGGCGGCUCUCUGGAACGCAACUGACGCUGAGACGCGAAAGCCGUGGGAGCAAAGGCAGG
rnacentral:rRNA from 1 species